AUCGCUUUCUACAACUUAUACAACUUAUGCUUAUGGUGAUGUCGCGAUUGUAUGUCAUUAAUUUGUGUUGAACAUUGGAAUGCUAUUUAUUGUGAUUUAAGCAAAAGUUUACAUCGAAUUCAACGAUUUUAUCAAAAUGACACAUGGACUUCUGUUGCGAUAACGUAUAAGUUGGUUUCUGAAUCCGCCGUACUAUUUAUUGCUGUGUCUAGCAUCAAUUUGUCACAACCAUGUCUUAUCCCGGUCAACCACCCAUGGGUAUUCCAGGAAUGCCUCCAAUGCCAUAUAUGGUUGGCGCACCUCCAUCAAUAAUUGGAGGAGUCAUGCCCAUGGCACAUAUGAUUCCAACACCCGUAUCUGCGAUGCAGACAUCCGCGCCAGCCGUACGUUACUCGCGCAAUCAAAAUCGCCACGAUAAUAAUCGGAGGCGCGAGAGAGAGUCGGGCCCACCUGUCACGGUGUUUAUCGGUAACAUAAUGGACAGAGCACCUGACGUGAUGAUGCGACACAUUCUGGGUGCAUGUGGCCAUGUACUUUCCUGGAAGAGAGUACAUGGAUUUGGGUUUUGCGAGUAUGCCGGCCCUGAUGCUGGUCUCAGGGCGAUCCGACUGCUUCACGACAUGGAAAUAGGCACGAAGAAGCUUCUUGCCAAGGUGGACGCCAAAACCAAGGUAGUCCUGGACGAAUUCAAAGCCGAGCGACGAAAGAAGCUCAAGGGCGGUCAGUCUCCGUUGCAAGAUGAGACCUCUAACGAGGGUGCGGACGGUGAGGAGGGUGAAGAUUAUAUGGACGAAGGUAUGAGAGUGGUCGAUGCAGACGCGCUCGCUCGCAUUAACCAGAUCAUAAGUGAACAUGCCGCGGAUCUGGAAAUGGCGCAAGUUGCUCCAGAGGAACAUCAGACAAAGAUGGUAGCUAAGUCGCUAAACCUGGAUGACGCAGAGAUAGAAGAGAGUAAAAGAGACUUGAUUACUCGAGAAAUUGGCAAAUUCAGGGAGGUCAUGAAGAAGCAGGAGGAGGAGAAGGCCCAGGUGAAACGAAAAAGAGAAGCGGUCGAGAAAGAGGAGCGCGAGAAGCGAGAGAAGGAGCGGCGCGAUAAGCGCGACGACGAUAUUACCAAGGAUGAUCAAGAUGGAGAUUCUGGUAGUCCUACAUCUCAUAAAGGUCGUAGUGAUAGCAGCAGUAGAAGAGAUAAACGUCGAUCUAGAUCCAGAUCUAAGGAACGCGAUAGGGAUCGAUCGAGAAACGAUCGAGACCGGGAUCGAGACAGAGACCGCGAAAGAGAUCGCGAACGUGAACGGGAACGGGAACGGGAUCGAGAUCGUGAAAGGGAACGCGAGCGAGAACGCGAGCGCGACAGGGAAAAGGAGAGAGAUCGGGAACGGGAAAGGGAACGGGAACGGGAGGAAGUGCGGAAAACCGAAAGGGAGAUUAUGCGUGAGAGGGAGGAGGAGGAGGAGGCGAAAGAGAGAAAGAAGAACGAGAGACGGGCUAGGGAGAAGGAAGCGGCGUAUCAGGAACGUUUGAGGGCGUGGGAGACUCGCGAACGACGUAAGCAGAAGGAGUACGAGAAGGAAGCUGAAAAGCGUCGUGCGAAGCGCGAGGCCAGAGAGAGGGAGGCGAAGCGGCUGAAGGAGUUCCUCGAGGAUUACGACGACGACCGUGACGACGCCAAGUAUUACAAAGGCAAGGAGUUGUCUCGUAGGCUCGAGGAGCGAGCUCUCGAAGCGGAAGCGGACUCGCGGGACCGUUGCGCGGAACGCCAAGAACUUCAGCGUCUACGCGACAAACUGUACGCGGACGCUUCCAAUCCGGAUCCUGCCGCGGAAUUUGAAAGAUUGAAAGCUGAAAGAGAGGAACAGUACAAGCCUAAACCAGUCAUUACCAUAAUCGACGAGGAGGAUGAAAAGACUGCGAAGAAGGAGAAGGAAGUAAUGCCGCCGAUAGAAACCGAGCCAAUCGAAAGCGACAGCGACGACGGUGUACAAUUCGAUGAUGCCUCGCAACCGGAAGCACCGUCCAGAACUCCACCGCGGCAUCAUCAUCACCACCGUCGGCAUCAUAGACAUCAUCAGAAUCAUCAUCGUGACGGCGAUGAGAAUCAGGAAGGACUAGCGGAGGCGGAUCGAGAAAGCUUGAAGGACACACGGCCAUCGCCGGUAAAUCAGUCGGUAGUGACGCCUGCUCAAUCCAUCCCGCCAUCAUUGGAUGAGGAUUCGCGUAUGUCUCUUGUCAGCGAACCCGAGAAGACGAGCAGCAGUAACUUUGUUCCCUUCGCCAUGGGAAGCGGUAGCAAUCGCGCUAGCGACCACGCCGUAGGUGCUAAAACGCCGGGCAGUCCCAAUACUGUCGCGAACUCGCAACAGGCAAAUCAAACGCGGAAGAAAGGUCGCAUCGAUGUCAAGGAUGUUUUCAAUAACGACGAUGACGACGACGCGGUUAAUAACGCGAAGAAGCGGAAACUCGUUCCUCUUGAUUAUGGUGACGAGAAGAAGAAGAAGGUGGAAGAAGCUGCGAAGCCGGGGAAAGAAGAGAAUACAAAGAGUCAGGAGGAAAAACGAAAGCACAUAAAGUCUCUUAUAGACAAAAUACCUACUGACAAGAACGCGUUGUUCGGUUAUCAACUUGAUUGGGCGAUCAUUGACAACACUCUGAUGGAGAAAAGGAUAAGACCGUGGAUCAAUAAGAAGAUCAUCGAGUACAUUGGUGAACCGGAACCUACCCUCGUGGAUUUUAUCUGUAGCAAAGUCAUGGCAGGCAGUUCUCCUCAGGGAAUCCUCGACGAUGUACAGAUGGUAUUAGAUGAGGAAGCGGAGGUCUUCGUGGUCAAGAUGUGGAGGCUACUGAUUUACGAGGUGGAGGCGAAGAAGAUGGGCUUGGUAAAGUAAAGUGGCCGUACGUUGUCCGUAAAUUUAUCGGCUCACGAUUCAUACUACACGUAUUAUAGCUAUCGUUUUCCUAGACGACAAAUCUGAAUUUAUCAAUAAAUAGAUUAAGUGUGUAGUAGUCACAGCGUUAAAUAAACUUGUAAUUACGAUUUAUAAUAUGCAUCAUGUUUUUCAAUUUACACACAUGAUUAUUGUCAUGCGGGCUAGUAAUGAUUCCUGUGUAAAAUUAAAUAAAUAUUCAUAUCUUGAUA
rnacentral:misc_RNA from 1 species